rnacentral:rRNA from 1 species
GAUGAACGCUGGCGGCGUGCCUAAUACAUGCAAGUCGAGCGAACGGACGAGAAGCUUGCUUCUCUGAUGUUAGCGGCGGACGGGUGAGUAACACGUGGAUAACCUACCUAUAAGACUGGGAUAACUUCGGGAAACCGUAGCUAAUACCGGAUAAUAUUUUGAACCGCAUGGUUCAAAAGUGAAAGACGGUCUUGCUGUCACUUAUAGAUGGAUCCGCGCUGCAUUAGCUAGUUGGUAAGGUAACGGCUUACCAAGGCAACGAUGCAUAGCCGACCUGAGAGGGUGAUCGGCCACACUGGAACUGAGACACGGUCCAGACUCCUACGGGAGGCAGCAGUAGGGAAUCUUCCGCAAUGGGCGAAAGCCUGACGGAGCAACGCCGCGUGAGCGAUGAAGGUCUUCGGAUCGUAAAACUCUGUUAUUAGGGAAGAACAUAUGUGUAAGUAACUGUGCACAUCUUGACGGUACCUAAUCAGAAAGCCACGGCUAACUACGUG